CCUACGGGUGGCAGCAGUGAGGAAUAUUGGUCAAUGGGCGCGAGCCUGAACCAGCCAAGUCGCGUGAGGGAAGAAGGUCCAAUGGAUUGUAAACCUCUUUUGUCGGGGAGCAAAAGACGCCACGCGUGGCGUGCCGAGAGUACCCGAAGAAAAAGCAUCGGCUAACUCCGUGCCAGCAGCCGCGGUAAUACGGAGGAUGCAAGCGUUAUCCGGAUUUACUGGGUGUAACGGGAGCGCAGACGGCCGCGCAAGUCUGGCGUGAAAUCCCAUGGCUUAACCCUGGAACCGCUUUGGAAACUGUGCCUCUAGAUUGCAGGAGAGGUAAGCGGAAUUCCUUGUGUAGCGGU
rnacentral:rRNA from 1 species